GCCUCUCUCCUAUGGGGCUGUGAAGAGGUCCCUUUUCUCCUCAGCCAAAGCUGGAGGACAAGAUCAUCCCUUGAGAAUCAUGGUCAAGACUGCCACAAACUGGGCAGCCUUGUUUUCCUGCCUCAGACGUUU
rnacentral:snoRNA from 1 species